GAUCCCGCCAGCAAAAACUCCAAUGGAGAGGAGUGGAAGUGCGGUUGAGGACACUCUUGCGUAAGUUUGCACAAGUUAAUUGGCCCCUGAUUAUGAUACAAUUUCAGAAAUGUGAAAUCUUUGCCGCCGGAGAAGUCGGAUGAUGAUAAGUCAAAAAAGAAGAAAAAGUAACUGAUCUUGUUUUUUGUAAAUAAAGAAGUUAUAGAAGGUGUUAUGUGUACAUUUUGUAAUAGAAUUAUUCCAUAAAUAAACCAUAUUAAACCAAUCAACAAUAAUCGAUAAUCAUCGUGUCAGUGCACAUUGUGCAAGUCUCUGAUUAGAAACUCAUGGAACUUUCGUUCUAGAGAACGUUAUCCUUUCUCCACCAUAUUCAAAGUGUCCACAUUAUCUCGGCAAGCUGGAUAUCAUCUAAGCCACUCUGAUAGUUUGCCCAAAUUUUAUGAUGCAACUUCAUUGAUUUUUUCCAGCAGCAGUUUCGAGCUCUCCUGAGAACUUUUUCAGUUUUCUGCAGCACUGUUCCAGGAAUAGUAUUCUAGUAUUCCUAACUAGAUUUUUUCAGGGUUUCUGUUUCCCUGUUCCAUUUUUGUUAACUUUAGACUUUUGCUCCCCUAAAUCAGCUUUUUGCAGCACUUUUACAUCAUCCAUCAGAUAUAUUUAUUUGCAACAACCAGCAGGCAACGAAAAUAUAAACAGUUUAAGGAAAACUUCUAGAUAUCAAACUUAAAAAGUGAAUAGCUCAAAAAUAAUUCAGUUUUAUUUUUCAAAAUUCAUGUCUCAUCAAAUAGUUUUAUUCAGUCUUGAUUUUUUGCUCACUCUCUUUUUCUCAACUUCAAUCCUAUCCUUCUUAAGCUUCUCCACUUUAGACACUGGCUUGCCGGAAGGCGUGACAGAAGCGGCUGUAGUAGUAUUUGCUGAGGUUGGAGUGAGCGUAGCCGGUGACGGUGUAGGUGGUGGAGGCAGUUGUGAAGUAUGUGGUUUUCGCGCAACAAACCUAAAAAACGAAUAAAUGAAUAAAUAAAUUGAUGAAAUAACCUCUCUGCUUCUCGUUCUGAUUGACUAUCUUGUGACGAAUCGGGAGUAAUCGAGCCCAAUUCUGGAGCAGUCUUCAUGUUGGUGAUGUAGCGUCUCUUGAGUUUAUGAUAGAUGCAACUCUGGUCAUACCAACACCACAAGAAAGUGAUAGUUACCAAGAUGACGGCAAUAACCAAUGUCCCAACCGUGUACCUGAAAGUAUUUGUAGUGAAAUUGAAAAAGAAGACGAAAGAAUAACUCACACAAGACCACUAUAGGAGGAGGUAGCAACAAUUGCAAAUUCUGUAGUUGUUGUGACAUUUCCACUUCUACUGACAGAUAUAGAUAAUUCAAGCUUUUCGCCCUUGAAGCCAGCUUCAACAGACCUCAAUACCUCCUUCAUACUAUUGAACGCAGAUUUGUAGCGAGAAAAAUCAAGGUCCAACUUGGAAAGUUCCAUGAGAGAAGCUCGAAAUUCAGCCACUAUCUGUGUAACUCUUUGAUUCGUUGUGAUGUUAUCAAAUCCUUCAGUAGCCGCCAAUCUUGGCUCAAGUUUCACAUCGAUUGAAUUCAGAAUUGUCAAAUCUUUGAACAUUUGCCCAUAAGCGGAUAGAUUCAAAUUCUUCUUAAUUGCAAUCGAUUUUUCCCAAAUACUAGCAUCGGAAAGGAACAUUUCAAUUUGUUGAGUUGUCGCCUCGAAAUUUCCCCAUUGACUUUCAAACUGUCUUUGCUGUUCAGGAGUACCAUAAAUAUCGGCUAUCUUCUGAGUGCUCUCUCCAUUUCUCACGAAAGUUUCCAACUCUGAUCUGCUAACCUUUGUAAUUGAAACAAGUGCACCAACAGCAUCACCAAAUGGUUUUGAGAGACCUUGCAAGGGUUUCAACUUUUUCAGAUCGGUCAUACCUGAGCUAUUAUCUUUUUUGUAUUCUUCGGCAAUCUUCCGAAGCGAAACAAGAAGCGGCAAUGACUUUGACACAGCAGAUGAAACUUCUUUAAACUUUUCUACUAACUUUCGAUCCGAUUUCAGUUUUCGAAGAAUCUUGACUGAUCGCAAGAUUGAAGCAAUUUUAUCCGUAUUUUUGAUUUCCUUCAUGAGGCAUUCUAGACGUGUUACCAAUGGUUGAGUGUGUGGUUCUGCAUAGACCUCAUUCAAUGUUUGAGCACCUGUGACAUGCUUCUGCAGACUUUUAGAGUUCUGAAUCAACUUGAAACUUUGAGACAAUGAACGCAAGACGGUGCGGAUACUACUCACAUCAGAUGAUUUGGUCUGCGUAGAGAGUUUAUUAAAGUCAUUUAUAACCUUGCUGGUGAAAGCAUUCCGGAUUGAUUCCAAUGCUUGAACCUUUCUCAAAAGCAAUUUCACGUGUUUAGCUGACUGUUUCAUAUUUUCAAGGAAACUUUUAUCCAUAUCUGCUAUCAGACACUUUGUCUCUAACGUAUUGGAAAUAGAAUCAAUAGCAUUUUGUGUCAAUCUUAUUCCACGAUGUUUUUGGAGAUCAAAAACUUGCCUCAUCAUGUGAUAAUGAGUUUCCGUAGACACGGGAUUCCAUAAGUAAUUCAGUUUUUUCAUUUCAACAGCAAAUUUCGACAAAAUGUUGAUAUUACUCAAAGGAACAGACGGUUUGAGUAUCCCAUCAAUCCACCGAUCUUUAGAAUCACUACUGAGUUUUUCUAUAUCCGAAAUUCCGUUUGCAAACCCUGCUGUUACAGUACGAUUAAUACACGAGAACAGUGAUACUACCACGUCUUUCAUAACAGAAAUAUCCGGAUCAGUUGCAAAUGGAAUAUAUUGGACAGUAUGUGCGUUGAAUGAAGGGCUUGUAAACAAUAAAACGUCAAAAUGACUAUUAUGUAGCAGCAUAAUAUCUACAAACGAAUCGAUAAGUGCCCAUUUCUCAAGGGUUACAAUGAAAGGUUUCAUUGUGGUUGCAGGCGGUAGAUUCGUCACAGCAGAAGCUAAGACUGCUAGCUGUUUCUUCAGUUCUGGAAUCGGCGAACUUUCGGCUUUGACAAUUUUGUCAAUUAAACCCAGAGUGUUCAUCAAAUUGAAAUUUUUGAAUUCAGAUAUACUCCAAGAUUCAACAGGUUUGAGUGAUGCUAAACUAUACGUUGUUGAUAUAUUCUCUAAUUUUCCAAUUCUUUCCCAAAUCGUCAUGAUUUUGAAAACAUCAAGCAUCGCCUGCUCAACUGUUAAAGUUUCGUUGCUUGAAUCCAUCGCAGCGCUGCUUACGCUUUCAAUAAACUUAUCUACCGAAGUCUUGUUGAACUUUUCCAAUUGUUUAAGACUUGCGGUGUCAAUGUUCAGAAGUUCCGCAAUGACUGGAUCGGCUGGGAUGGAGCCAUCGGAGAAUCCAUUGAUUAUUGCGAUGGCGGUGACGAGGCGAGCAACAGCGGGCAAUUUUUUGAACAGAGUUGCAGGGUCUUCAUCUGAAACGGUAUAUUUAUUCACUGUUAAUUAGCGAUGUGCGUAUAACCGCGUGUGAUAUGGUGGGCGCGCAGAGCAAGCGGGGUAGGGUGGCCGUGGUGUAGAGGUGGCAAAAAGUCGCAACAGGUCGAUCUGCCUAUUUUACAGCAGCUUCACCAACAAUCAAAUCUUAAUUUUGAAUAUGAAUUUUCAUUAGCAUGACCCCCUCACUCAAAUUUGCGACACUUCAUACAGUGAGGCCGGUACAAAUGUUGCUCAAAGUUGGAGCAGUUCGACCUGUUGCAACCACCGUGGUGGACACUCUACAAGCCCUGCAUUUGUGGAAGGUUUGUUUGCGAGUCGCUGUGCUUGCUUUUAAGCUUUUUAAACUCACUAUCGCUUACAGCUCUCGCAAACGGACGGCGAUUUGAAUAAUCCAGAGACUCGUUAUUGUUUAUAUUUGAAUGUUCUGAAAUUGAAUUGAUUAAUUAUUUGCGAGUCGCGGUGUGUACCCUAUUUUGUUGGCGAUGCAAAACAUAAAACGUUUUAAACUCACUAUCGUGUGGAUUCACAGCUCGCACAAAUUGACGGCGACUUGAAUAAUCCAGAGACUCGUUAUUGUUUAUAUUUGAAUUUACUGAAAUUGAAUUAUUUUUGCUAUCGAAAACUCUGGAUGACUUACCACAUUCCACGCUAAUUGUGAUGAUUCCAAAAAUCGUUAUCUUCAGAAGAAUUAUCAUGCUGAUAAUUGAUUUAAUUCUCAUCUUGUGAUUCUUGUGAUCUUGUUAGCAGUGGUUGUCUGAUAAAAACGUAAUAAUUUAAAACUGAUUGAUUUUAUGAACGAAGCGAGAAAACAAGAUAAGAUCUUUACGGCUGGGGUUAUUUGGAAGUUCACGUUGAAAUUUUAUUAUUGAAUGCAAUUAAAAAAAAAUUUUUUUUUUUCAAUUUCUUUGCUCUUAUCAUCCCAGUCUGGAACAAUUUAUUCAAAAAUGUUACGGUUUUUAUGUCCCCAUAUCAGUUCUGUGAAUUUAUUGAUCUCAACAUCCCCCGGUUAUAACUACACUUUUACCUCCAUUCUCUUCUUUCUCCCCGUUUCACCUGUUUAUCUUUUUUUUGUAACUUUUACUCGAGUUGAACUCUUUUAGGGUUCGUCUCGUUUUAUUUUUUUAUUUCUCUUCUUUUAGUUAAAUAAACUCAAAUUCAAAAAGAAAAAUAUCGAAUUUUGAAUAAGUUUUCGAAUUGCGAGCAUUGGCGACGAAGGGGGGGGGGGGGGGGGGGUUGCCCCACGAUAGCUCAAUCCAGGAAGACGAGCAACUAAAAUAGUCAGAUUCUUUUUUCAACAUUCAUUUUUCAUAAAAUAGUUCAAUAGUUCACAUACAACACUUCACUCCUUUUCUUCUCAACCUCAUGGGUCUUACUCUUGUUCUCCACAACAUCCAUAAUGCUUUUCAUAACUAUCGGGCUCGGUUUUGCAUCUGAAACUUGGUAAAUAUUGUAAGACGAUAUAAACACUCACUUGCUUUCAGCCUCGAAACAUCUUUAUUAAGUUUUUCAGAUUUGUAAACUGAAUUGGCUGGUGACUUGGCAGGAGAGACUGUUGGAGUCCUUGCCGGAGGCGUGAUCGGUACUGAAAGUGAUGAUGGAGACAGUUGAAUGGAAUGACUUUAAACACUCAUUUGCUUUCAGCCUCGAAACAUCUUUUAUAAGUUUUUCCGAAACAGACUUCAACACCUCCGGCAUACUAUCCAACGCAGAUUUGUAGCGUGAAAAAUCAAGAUCCAACUUGGAAAGUCUUAUGAGAGAUUCUCGAAAUUCAGCCACUAUCUGUGUAACUCUUUGAUUCGUUGUGAUGUUAUCAAAUCCUUCAGUAGCCGCCAAUCUUGGCUCAAGUUUCACAUCGAUGGAAUUGAGAAUUGUCAAAUCUUUGAACAUUUGUCCAUAAGCGGAUAGAUUCGAAUUCUUCUUAAUUGCAAUGGAUUUUUCCCAGAUGCUAGUAUCGGAAAGGAACAUUUCAAUUUGUUGAGUUGUCUCCUCGAAAUUUCCCCAUUGACUUUCAAACUGUAUUUUUUGUUCAGGAGUACCAUCACUAUUGACUUUCUUCUGGGUGGCCUCACCUUUUUUCACGAAAUUUUCCAACUCGGACCUGCUAACCUUUGUAAUUUAAACAAGUGCACCAACAGCAUCACCAAAUGGUUUUGAGAGACCUUGCAAGACUUUCAACUUUUUGAGUUCAUUCAUUUCUGAACUGGAAUCUUUUUUGUAUUCUUCGGCAAUCUUCCGAAGCGAAACAAGAAGCGGCAAUGACUUUGACACAGCAGAUGAAAAUUCUUUGAAUUUUUCUACUAAUUUUCCAUCCGAUUCCAUUUUGCGAAGAAUCUUGGCUGAUCUUGCGGUUGAAGCAAUUUUAUAUGUGUCCUUGAUUUUUUCUUUUAGACAAUUAAGAUGAACUACCAAAGGUUGAAAAGUUGACUGUAGUAAGUACUUCAAACUUUGAGCUCCGUCAGCAUGCUCCUGGAGGCUUCCAGAGUCUUGGAUCAGUUUGAUCUGCUGAGUUAAAGAACGCAACAACUCGCCCAUUUGUUUGAUUUGAGAUGAAUCAGUCGAUUUGUAGUAAUUCUUAAAAUCAUUGCUGUUGAAAACAUUUGAAAUUGACUCCAAUGAUUUUACUUGUUUCAAGAGUAAUAUUACAUGAUCAAUCGCAUUUUUCAAGACUGUUGCCAAUUUGCGUUUAAAAGGUACUGGUUUACACGUCGUUUUUAAGAUGGACAGAGUUUGACCGAUAAUAGUUGAAGACAUUAAAUUUCCAAGGUGUUGUUGUAGUUCGAUGACUUGUCUCAUCACGUGAUAAUGAUUUUCUAUGGUGACUGGUUUCCACAGAUCAUUCAGUUUUUUCAUUUCAGAGGUAAAUUUUGCCAAUUUUUCAAUGUCACUUAACGGAAAAGACGGCUUGAGUAGCCUCUCCAGCCACUGAUCUUUAGAAUCAUUAGUUAGCAUUCCUAGGUCUGAAAUCCCGUUUGGAAACCCUGUUGUGACAUCACGGAUAAUCUGCGAAUAGGGAGCCCCAACCACUUCUCUCAUCACAAAAAUAUUCGAUUUAUCGACAUAAAGUGAUAUGUUCUUCACAGCUUUAGCGUUCUUUGCAAAUCUAGAUUGUCGAGGCGGGAACGACAAUACAGAUGCGUAUUCCAGAAACAAUUGCAUAAUAUCUACAAAAGGACCUAUUUGCUUCCAUUUUUCGAGUAAAUCAAUAAAACGUUUCCUUGUGCUUUGAGUCGGAAGUUUCUGGACAGCGGAAGCUAAGCCUGCUAGCUUAUUUUUCAAAUCAGAAACUGUUGAGUUUUCUGAAUUUAUCAAAUUUAAUGUACUGAUAAGAUCAAAUGAUUUGAAUCCAGAUGUGUCCCAAGACCCGAUUUUGAGCAAAGACUUUAAGGUGGAAUUAGCUGGAAUUUUAUUCAAAUUUCCAAUACUUUUCCAAGUCGUCAUCACAUCGGCAAGAUCAAUUAUCGCCUGUUCAACUUUCAAUGUAUGCUCGUGUGAGUCAAUCACAGCGCUGUUUAAGCUUUCAAUGAACUUAUCUACAGAAGUCUUGUUGAACUUCUCUAGUUGUUGUAGACUUGCGGCGUCAAUGUUCAGAAGUUCCGCAAUGACUGGAUCGGCUGGGAUGGAGCCAUCGGAGAAUCCAUUGAUUAUUGCAAUAGCGGUAACGACACGAGCAGCACCAGGGAGUUUCUCAAACAGAGUGUUGGGGUCUUCAUCUGAAAAUCUAUAGUUCUUCAAGUGAAUCAGAAAUCGUUUUAAACUCACUAUCGUCUACAGCUCUUGCAAACUGACGGCGACUUGAAUGCUCUUGUGAGUCGAUGUUAUUUAUAUUUGAAUGUUCUGAAAUUGAAUUAAUUAACUAUACACUCAACACGUACUGCCUUUGUGGAAAGCUUAUUUGCGAGUUGCGGUGUGAGCAUUGUACCCUAUUUUGUUGGCGAUGCAAAACGUAAAACGUUUUAAACUCACUAUCGUGCGGAUUCACAGCUCGGACUAACUGACGGCGACUUGAAUAAUCCAGAGACUCGUUAUUGUUUAGAUUUGAAUGUUCUGAAAUUGAAUUAUUUUUGCUAUCAAAAACUCUGAAUCACUUACCACAUUCCACGAUAAUAGUGACGAUUCCAAAAAUCGCUAUCUUCAGAAAAAUUAUCAAGCUGAUAAUUAAUUUAAUUCUCAUCUUCGAAAGCAGUGAUUGUUUGAUGAAAACGUAAUAAUUUGAAACUGAUUGAUUUUUGGACGAAGAGAGAAAAAAAAGAUAAGAUCUUCACGGUUGGGGUUAUGUGGAAGUUCACGCAGAACGUUAAUUUUUGAACGCAAUUUUUUUUUUGAAGAAUAUCGAGUUUUGAUAUUUUUAAUUUAAUUUAUUACGAUAGUAAGAUAUCGUGAGGUAGAAAAAGAAAACACACAUUAAUAGAUACAAACCAUCACAAGUGGUUACAUAAAUAAAAAUGGAACAAAAAUAAAAAGAGAUGAGAAAAAAAUAAUGGCUACAUUGGAGAAGAAGCAAAAAACACAUUCAUCGAUGUAUAAAAGGCAAGAAUAAAUUAUGGAUAGAAGUGAGGAUAGGGUAACAUUAUCAGAUUAAUUUGAUAUUUGAUAUCAGAAUAUUUUUUUUUUCAAUUACGAGUUUGGGGGAAGUGGGAAGUCCCCCAUAACAGCCCUUGCAGAGAACCAGCAAUCAGGCGAAAAUGAGGUGCAUUCAAGACACCGACUUCCGCACAGUAAUUACGAAAUACAAAAAAUCUAAAAGAAAAUUAAUUUCAACGACAUCACGUAUUUUAUUAUUUGAAAAACAAAUAGAAACGUACCCUCUUGAUUUUUUGUUGUUGUUGGAUUGUUAGAUUACAAGACCAGAUAAAGAUUUGAAAUCAUCAGUUUUCAAUUCUUGAUUUCUUGAUAUACAAUCAAUGCUCAUGUUUUCAAUUUAUUUUCAGAGCGUAAGUUUUUUUCUACUUUACAGGAAAUUUCUCAUGUCGUUCAAGCAGAAAUUUUCCAGAUUACUCUCUUGUUUGGACCAUUUCUUUUGCUGAUCGUCUUCAUUGUAAAUUGCCAGUCAAAAAAGAAGUUUAAAGAGGAUGGAAGAGUGCGUUUCCUUUAGAAAAGAAAACCGUAAUUAUUUUGUUUCAGGCCAAACUAGUCCCCCGAAACGCACCAGUUUGCCCGGACCCCGCAAAGGAAAAAUCCGCGCAGACUUGUCCGACUGCACAG
rnacentral:sRNA from 1 species